AUUGAACGCUGGCGGCAGGCCUAACACAUGCAAGUCGAGCGGAGCGGCGGACGGGCGAGUAAUGCCUAGGAAUCUGCCUGGCAGUGGGGGAUAACGACCGGAAACGGGCGCUAAUACCGCAUACUAUCAGACGAGCCUAGGUGGGAUUAGCUAGUUGGUGGGGUAAGGGCCUACCCAGGCGACGGUCCGUAACUGGUCUGAGAGGAUGAUCAGUCACACUGGAACUGAGACACGGUCCAGACUCCUACGGGAGGCAGCAGUGGGGAAUAUUGCACAAUGGGCGAAAGCCUGAUGCAGCCAUGCCGCGUGUGUGAAGAAGGUCUUCGGGUUGUAAAGCACUUUCAGUUGGGAGGCGUUACCCACAGAAGAAGCACCGGCUAACUCCGUGCCAGCAGCCGCGGUAAUAC
rnacentral:rRNA from 1 species